rnacentral:ncRNA from 1 species
GUAGGUUAGGCCGAGUAGGAGACGAAAGCUGAGCACAAUGAGGAAGGAGGGCGCGACCUUCGGCCGUAGCGCCGUGAAUACGCACCCCGCGCAGACGUGCGGACGCUUCUUGCAUGGCCGUUGGCUUCGGCGUUCAACGCGGUUUCAUGCACGAUCUGCAAGCGGCUACCCGAACGCCACUGAAAGCCGUGCGGGUGCCUCCAUGAACUCCGAGGAGC